CUAUGGAAGGAUUUCUGGUUGGAGCCUUAUGGAGUCCUUUCUGUAAGCCUGGAUUUUUGGAGGUCCCGGCAGGCUGGUCUUCCACAGCUACUGGGGAAGAUGUAUUUCCCCCUUCAAGGGCCUGUAUUAUGGAGGAGCGCAAUCUGAAGAAUUUAGCAAAGAACUUCUGGACAGUGAAAUCUGCAGUGAACGGAGGACAUUCAGAACAAAGAUGUGCUCUUCUCAUCUUAUCAAAAUUCGUAUUCAUAUAUGUCCAACGAUAAUGUUUUCUGACACUGUGUCUUUGGUAUAUGGUUGCUUUUACUCUUUCAGCCCACUUUCAAGAACAGUUAACUUGAGAUCUCAUUAUGGGACUGUACCGAUAGCAACUCAGAAUGGUGAAUUGAGGAAACUCAACUUUUUGAAGGCAAUUUAGUUUUACCAAACAAUGCAAUUGCUUGCAGCCAGGGUUUGUCACUCAGGUUUAUCACUUUCACAGUAUGAAUCCCAUGCCUCAGAUCUGUGGAAAGUUUAACUAUUUGUAGCCACAGGAUUCUAGGAAAAAUGGAAAUAUCCUGCAGAGUCCCUGUCAUAUGGAGAAAUGCUUUUCCACAGUUCUGUGAUAGAGAUGUACAGCAACUUUCAGCAACCUAAUUAGUUUCUUGAUCAGAGGAAGACAACUCUUCAAGGCAAAUGAAAAGGUCAUUGCAAAUCCCAGAGAAAUAUUCAUGUCUUUUGUCAUAUUAACUGACAGAUAUUUAAAUAUAACCACUCACUUUUCCUGCAGACACUGUCAGAAGAUGCCAGACAGCUGACAAGCAGCAAUGAAUUCGUAUCACCACCCUGACAUACCAACAAUGAGGAAGUGAAUAAAACUACUAAAUGCUCUUUUUGUGCUGCUGAGAGAUAGGUCUGGGUCAGCAUACACUUACAAGUCUGGUGAUACAUAAGGGACAUUGUGACUUCUCUGAAGAUGGUUUAGCCCAAUUAAUAAUAUCAGCAGGGGAAAGGAAUGCUGCUCUGCUACUGGAGCACUGAGAGAGGAUGUAGAAAGCUGGAGUAUGCACCAAGAUCUCUGUACAACCUUAGUAAAGUCUUGUAAUGUUUUUGAGGACUAACACUUGCCCGCAUAUUUAUUCCAAGACUGACUUUAGGUACUGUGAAGCUGUGAGUUUACUUUCUUUCAGCUCUUUAUCUGUAAGAUGGAGAAAAGGCAUUUCUUUUUUCCACCGUUUGGCUACCAGUAACUGUAAAAGCCUCAGGGUAAGAAUAGGUCUGACUGCAGUUAUGACAUGAAUAGACAGCUGCCUGGUAUCAUUAACACAGGAUCCUGAAUGCAGAAAAUAUUAACAAAAGAAUGAAGGCAUUUUGAUCCCAGAGGAAAUCUUAUUUUGUUGCAUAAAGUGUUUUGUGUAACUGAAUUCCAGUACUAGCCAGUGUAUUUUAUAGAAAAUGUACUAGCAAGCUUCUUCCCAGCAGUGAUCAUAGAAAUAAUACUGGAACAAUCAUGGUGCACGUGUGACUGCAGUACAGUGAAUUUUGUCUGGCUACUUUCUUAUCAUGGAACACACUGGUAAUAUUCAUUGCAUAGAAAUCCCAGAGGAAUCUGAUUUGAAGGUGUUCUGAUCUCUGAAUAUCAGCUUCAGGAUGUUCCUUGUUCAAGAUGUGUGAAGUAGAUAUAGACAUUUCAAAGUCAGGUUGGACAGCGCUUUGAGCAACUUGAUUUAGAGGAAGGUGUCCCUUCCUAUGGCAGGGAGAUGAACUAGAUGAUCUUUAAGAUCAUUUCCAACUCAAACCGUGCUAUGGUAUCUCAUUCUUCCAGAUGACAUGAUCCUUCUUCUUGGCCCAGAUUAUUCUGUACUCUCGUUCUGUGUUACUGCUCUUGUAGCACACUUUCCAACCUAACAGUGAAAAGAAAUGUGUAUGUUGAUAUGCUACAUGGCCGCUAUUUCGUGUAUGCGGCCUGUAUAUUUUGUCUUGUUAAAAAUAUUCAACAGACUGUUUACAAGAGGUUCUAUGCUGGGAUAAGAAUUCAGAUAAGUUGGGAAUGUGGAAACUAGCCUUCUUAAAACUAAUUUUUCACCCAGAACAGUGUUUAUCUGACUCUCAACACAGUCACUUGUGAAAGCUGUAGGGAUGGGCACCGUGACUGGAAAAGAAAAUAUAUCCCAAAAGAACCCAAGGACCCUACGUAUUUACUUUUGCCACAGAAGUGCAUUUGUUCUGCAUGAACUAAGCAAGGAAGUUUCUACUUCUGCACCUGUAGAAAAACUCUACUAGAUAAGAAAUCACGCUCGUUUAUGAUUCUUCAUCCUGAUAUUUCUCAUGUUACAACUGGACUAUGGUACUAAUGAAAUGGGGCCAACCCCCUUUUUUUUUUUUCUUCAGAAAAACAGUAUAUAAGAAUAUAUAAGAAUAGAAACCUUCAAUUUUGAUUUGAAUUUCAACAAAUGUGGCCAUUUUUUUUGCUGAUAUGUAAUACACGAACAUAGGGAAACAGCGCUUUAAAGGAGUGAGUCUUUGUUCAGUUUAGAUUGUACUGCUUAGGAAGCACCAUGUCAUUAAGUAUUGUGGUGGUAAUUUGUUACUUCUGAGCAUUACUUUCAAACUAUGCUUCACUGUGCCUGCUUCAGGAUAAUGAUGGUAUUUUAUACUAGAGAGGAUACAGUCAAAUGCAUUCCUGCACACAGAACUAAAAGCACUGUACUGAGGAUAAAGCAAUAUCAAAUUCCUUCACUAGCAAGAAAUACAACUAAUAAAGAGACUGAGGUCUUGGAUCUGUCCCUCAGUAUUAAUAGAUCUAUUUACUUUCUAAUGGAUGAAUCGCUGGAACAAGUUCAAUGUGUACCUGAAAUACUGCCAUGGAAGUGAAUUCCAGAGGAUCUCAUCCUGACUGGAAGCUUGCACAUUACACUGGGUAUGAGCAACAUGGGGAACUGCCAUUCAGUUCAACUCAUUCCUCCUAAAUCAGGCUGAGAUUUGAUUCCUGUGAUCACUGUCAGUAUUUUAAAGAAAGAGAAAGGAGAUGUAAUAAGGUGAUAGAUACAUUUCAUAGCCAUUAUUGCUGCUGGAAAAGUGUCUGAUUUAGUUUCCAGCUAAAUAAAUCCACAUACCUCUUAGCCUUACUUUCUAAAAAUGGUCUCAGCUUUUAGAGAAUAUCUUUCAUAUUCUCAGUGAAAAUGAUGUCUGUACAAAUAGCUGACUUUAAGAUUGAGAAGAUGAAUAAAAGUGAUGAAGAGGAAGGCUGUAGUGGGUUUUGUUAUUGUUGUUGUUUUGGUUGUUGGGGAUUUUUUGGUCAACCAGAAACAUUAUUUCUGCAUUGUCAUAUUUUUUUAAACUUACAUUGAAUAAAAAAGUUAAAUGUACACAAUAUAUUCAUAUAGAUUGGGCUAAAUGCUUUCUUAGUCUAAAGACGUUUCUUAUGUUUUCCUUGCGAAUUUAAAGAAGAUGAAAGUGUACUGUCAAAAAUGUCAGCAUAAACAGAAAAAAAAUUUAAAACAUUAGAAAGUGUUAAGCAAUCACUGAAAUGUUUUGACUUCUUGCAAGCAUUUUUUUGAUAUAUUUAAUUGUUUAAUGCAGCUGUUCACUGAA